rnacentral:rRNA from 1 species
ACGCUCGACACCUACGGGAGGAGCAGUGGGGAAUAUUGCACAAUGGGGGAAACCCUGAUGCAGCGACGCCGCGUGGAGGAAGAAGGUCUUCGGAUUGUAAACUCCUGUUGUUGGGGAAAAAGAGGAUGGUACCCAACAAGGAAGUGACGGCUAACUACGUGCCAGCAGCCGUAGGUAAUCUGAGGCGGGCUGGACAAGGC